UACGUAGGGUGCAAGCGUUAAUCGGAAUUACUGGGCGUAAAGCGUGCGCAGGCGGUGAUGUAAGACAGAUGUGAAAUCCCCGGGCUCAACCUGGGAACUGCAUUUGUGACUGCAUCGCUGGAGUGCGGCAGAGGGGGAUGGAAUUCCGCGUGUAGCAGUGAAAUGCGUAGAUAUGCGGAGGAACACCGAUGGCGAAGGCAAUCCCCUGGGCCUGCACUGGCGCUCAUGCACGAAAGCGUGGGGAGCAAACAGG
rnacentral:rRNA from 1 species